AUUGCGAUGGGCGAAGCUGAUCCGCAAUGCCGCGUGCAGGAAGAAGGCCUUCGGGUUGUAAACUGCUUUUGUACGGAACGAAACGGUCUGCCCUAAUACGGCGGGCUAAUGACGGUACCGUAAGAAUAAGCACCGGCUAACUACGUGCCAGCAGCCGCGGUAAUACGUAGGGUGCGAGCGUUAAUCGGAAUUACUGGGCGUAAAGCGUGCGCAGGCGGUUAUGUAAGACAGUUGUGAAAUCCCCGGGCUCAACCUGGGAAUUGCAUCUGUGACUGCAUAGCUAGAGUACGGUAGAGGGGGAUGGAAUUCCGCGUGUAGCAGUGAAAUGCGUAGAUAUGCGGAGGAACACCGAUGGCGAAGGCAAUCCCCUGGACCUGUACUGACGCUCAUGCACGAAA
rnacentral:rRNA from 1 species